UGCUGUGGCCGGGCAGACUCAAACAGAAAUUGACAACUCCAGCAUGCAGAGGAGGAGACAAUGGCUUGGAAUCCUUGAGUGUAAUGAAGCUGUGGGUGCCUGGGAAUCCAGAACUCCCUAGAAUAUGGUUCCAAGACUCCCUCUAAAGCUGUUGAGGAUUCUCCCCUUCGUUUGGCCUCCUAGAGGUGGCAUCACGUUCUGCCUGCCUGUGGCAAUCAUGACUGGGAUUGUUACCGGAAUGCACCAAGUACAGGAAGUCAGUACAGCAGCUGGAUGUCUCACGGUGGGCGACGGCCUGAGAAUCUCCUCCUUCCAGCAAGUCAAGCCGAGGAAGGAACACCCCUGCCUGUGCAGUUUGAGAAGCUCAGCCUGGGCACAGGAAUGCUAGGCAAUAUGAUACCUAAGUGCCAUUGAGAACGAAUCAGCCUGAAGAUAUUCUAGUAAGGGAGCUGGCACCAUGUGUCUUCAAG
rnacentral:lncRNA from 1 species